GUGGUUUUAAACAUUGUGACAAUAUCAGAGCAAUUGAAAUACUUAUACACAAGUUAUUAUCCUUAAACUAUAAAAUGCUUGUUUUGGGCCCCUUUUGGGCCCUUAAUUCCUAAACGGUUGGGACCAUCAUCCCCAAAAUCGAUCCAAACCUUCCUUUUGUGGUAUUGAACCUUCUGAAAAAAAAAUCAUAAAGAUCUAUACACUUAAACUAAAGUUAUUGUCCGGAAUAUAAGUCUACUUUGAUCAGUUUUAGUUAAAAUAUUAAGGGGCAAAAACUAUUACAAUUAGUGCAUUUUAUAGAUAUUUGGGAGCAUUUUUUUACCAAUUUCCCAUUAUUUGCCAGGCUAAAUUUUUUUACUUGUCUUAGAACUGAUAUGCACCUUUAAAAAAAUCCUAAAAGUUGAAAAAAAUAAAUAUGAUCUUGAGAGAAAACACCUACUGAGUACAUGUACUACAUGCAAGUUAUCUAAUACAUCUGUUGCACGAACCUCUCUGGCAACCUGCCAAAAGGUAAAAAAAAUGUCAAAAUGCAUUUUUUUCUUUUUUUUUAUAAUGUUCUUUGCAAAAUAUAACAAGAUAAUGCUAUAUUUAAGAGAUAUAUCAAUUAUCCAGACCUUUAAAAAGUACCUAAAUAUGGUGAUUUUUUUUGCAUUUUUUUUUUUAAUAAUUCACAAAUAUGCA
rnacentral:lncRNA from 1 species